UGGGGAAUAUUGGACAAUGGGCGAAAGCCUGAUCCAGCCAUGCCGCGUGUGUGAAGAAGGUCUUCGGAUUGUAAAGCACUUUAAGUUGGGAGGAAGGGCAGUAAGCGAAUACCUUGCUGUUUUGACGUUACCGACAGAAUAAGCACCGGCUAACUCUGUGCCAGCAGCCGCGGUAAUACAGAGGGUGCAAGCGUUAAUCGGUAUUACUGGGCGUAAAGCGCGCGUAGGUGGUUCGUUAAGUUGAAUGUGAAAGCCCCGGGCUCAACCUGGGAACUGCGUCCAAAACUGGCGAGCUAGAGUAGGGCAGAGGGUGGUGGAAUUUCCUGUGUAGCGGUGAAAUGCGUAGAUAUAGGAAGGAACACCAGUGGCGAAGGCGACCACCUGGGCUCAUACUCACACUGAGGUGCGAAAGCGUGGGGAGCAAACAGG
rnacentral:rRNA from 1 species